rnacentral:tRNA from 1 species
GCCGAAGUGGCGAAAUCGGUAGACGCAGGGGACUCAAAAUCCCCCGCCGCAAGGCGUGCCGGUUCGAGUCCGGCCUUCGGCACCA